GAUGAACGCUGGCGGCGUGCCUAAUACAUGCAAGUCGAGCGAACAGACGAGGAGCUUGCUCCUCUGACGUUAGCGGCGGACGGGUGAGUAACACGUGGAUAACCUACCUAUAAGACUGGGAUAACUUCGGGAAACCGGAGCUAAUACCGGAUAAUAUAUUGCACCACAUGGUUCAAUAGUGAAAGACGGUUUUGCUGUCACUUCUAGAUGGAUCCGCGCCGCAUUAGCUAGUUGGUAAGGUAACGGCUUACCAAGGCAACGAUGCGUAGCCGACCUGAGAGGGUGAUCGGCCACACUGGAACUGAGACACGGUCCAGACUCCUACGGGAGGCAGCAGUAGGGAAUCGUCCGCAAUGGGCGAAAGCUUGACGGAGCAACGCCGCGUGAGUGAUGAAGGUCUUCGGAUCGUAAAACUCUGUUAUUAGGGAAGAACAAAUGUGUAAGUAACUAUGCACGUCUUGACGGUACCUAAUCAGAAAGCCACGGCUAACUACGUG
rnacentral:rRNA from 1 species